rnacentral:lncRNA from 1 species
AGACGGGGUUUCUCCAUGUUGAUCAGGCUGGUCUCGAUCUCCCAACCUCAGGUGAUCUGCCUGCCUCGGCCUCCCAAAGUGCUGGGAUUACAGGUGUGAGCCAGCGCGCCCAGCCAACUUGUACUAUUUCUAAGCUAAUACAAGUCCAUUUCACAUAGAUAACACAUUACAUUUCUACAGAAAUCAUUGUAUUAAGCCUACUGAAAUGCAUCUUGCUGUUUUUUGAACUAAAGACCCAUGUAUAAGUGAUAGUUCUUUCAUAUCAGUACAUGAAUCUGAGGAGACCCUAAUUUUCAGUGGCCACAGGUCCUUAAUCUGCUGUGCUUUUCCCUGGCAGUGCUCAACAGCUGGGAGCUGCCCCAUGGAAAGGGACUACUGGCCUAAUCCCAGACUGGGGUUUGACUAAAAGGUUGCGCCAGGAGGACAAAAGGGCAAGAGAGUAAGACCACCAGCAAGAGAAUGACCAAAAUGAUAGACUUGGGCCAUAUUUUGGGCUAAUUGUGCCCCCCAAAAUAUAUAUGUUGAAGCCCUAACCCCCAAUGUAUCAGUAGUUGGAGAUGGGGCCUUUUGGGGGGUAAUUAGGUUUAGAUGAAGUUACAAAAUAGAGCCCUCAUGCUGGGAUUAGUGCUCCUAUAAGACAUCAGGAAGUUUGCUCUCUCUUUCUGUCGUGUGAGGAUACAGUGAGAAGGCAGCCAUCUGCAAGCUAGGAAGAGGGCCCAUGCCAGAACCUGACCAUGCUGGCACUCUGAUUUUGGAUUUCUAGUCUCUAGAACUGUGAAUAAGUACGUUUCUAUUGCGUAAGCCACCCAGUCUAUGGUAUUUUAUUAUGGCAGCCUGAGCUGACUAAUAUAGGCUUCUAGAUUGGAAGGGGAAGGAAGUAAAGAGAGAGAAUUGAUAGGGAUAAAGAAGAGGCAUCAAGAGACUUGGGGUAUCUGCUACUGAAGACAUCAGCUCUCUAUGACAAAACAGCACAGCAUGUUUGGAGUAAGAGAAAGCUGAAGUCUCAACAAACAAAUAGAUUCUUAAUGUUCUAUACCACCGGACAAACUGCAGCCCUUUUAUACAUAUGGAGUACUUUCUGGGCCAGUCCUGUGGCCCCUUUCAAAUGUAUGGUGUUGAAACGUAGUAAGUUUAUGUUUUUAAGGUCUGCCCCUCCCUUCUUGCAUUAUAUCAUAAACUCUUCUCUUUUUUUUUUUUUUUGAGACGGAGUCCCGCUCUGUCACGCAGGCUGCCAGGCUGGCGUACAGUGGCGCAAUCUCAGCUCGCUGCAACCUCCACCUCCUGGGUUCAAGCGAUUUUCUUGCCUCUGCCUCCUGAGUAGCUGGGAUUACUGGCACACACCACCAUGCACAGUUCCUUGUUCAAAAUGCCAAGAACCUGGAUGACUCAUAGUCAAGACCCUCCACCAGUAACAUAUAUUGGCGAGCCAGCCAGGAGCUUGGAACCCUCGGUGGACAGUGCCUAAGCACAGAGGCAACCACAGGUUUCUAACAGGGCCACUCUCUGGUGAAACUGAAAGGUUUCUGUGUGAAAGUGCCUGACCACCACUGCCCAAUUCAGACCACUACAGGAAACACUCCAUUUAUUCCACCUGACUUCCCACUUGGCUGCAUCCUCAACCAUUGAAAUGAAUUUGACCCUGAUAAUCUAAGGAGGAAACAUUUGAUAUUCUUUUGCAAUAAUACUUGGCCCCAGUAUUGUUUGGAAUCUGGAGUUUGCUGUUGAAUGGGAAAGCAGGAUGACGUUGCAUGUAUCCAGGCUUUGGUGCUGCUGUCCUAAGAAGGGUCAGGCCUAGUCAGCAUAUGGUGCUCUCCUUUGGUGCUAUUUGGCUCCAGUGUCUUUGGAGUCUGAGGAGGUUUGGCCUUUAAAAAUCAAACUGCCACCGGAACUGCUUUAAAAAUGUUUGGUUCACAGCCUUCACUGGAUUACCUAUUGGAGCAAACAAAGUGUAACCAUGUAAAACCUGUGAGCUUGUAUUGAUAUCUCAUGGCUAGAGUUCCAAGGUAAAAGCUAUUGGAUCUUCGUUUGUGUGUGUGUAUACAUGUCUAGAUGUGUUUAUUUGUAUGUACACUUAUUGUUAUAUGUUGUGUCAACCAAAUCAGCUUAUAAAUAAAAAAGC